UUCAAAUUGAAUUGUACUUCAACUUAAUCAAAAACUACCUUGACCAAAAACUUUGACCUGAAGCGGUACAAACAGACGGACGGACGGACAAACGAACGGACGCAUAGACCGGCAAACAAUUCCCCGCUACUAUCGUAGAUGAGGCAUAACAAUCGAUAUUUGAAAGUAUAGCCAUGGAUUGAUUUUUAACAAGUGACUAAGAGUGUUUCCGCAGAGCGACCAAUUUGUUUAUAAAUAUAUGUGAACGUAUACGUAUAAGGACACACGACACAAACAGAUAUCUAAAUACUGUACUGGUACUGUUGUAUUGAAAGAUUAUAGUAUACAUUUGUGAUCCGUGAGAAUCUAAGAAAUGCCGAAACUGUACGUUGUGUGUAUUGUUCUUUUGGUCGCCAACAUGUUCAAUGUGUCGCACGGAGUAUCCACUACGGUGCUGGAAAUGUUUCCAGAAUUCAACGACCUCUUACAGAAAAAUAUAAAAUCAGAAAGAGAAAUUCGGACAUUGAAGAAUGAUGUGUCCCGUCUACGACAAGAGAUGAAUACUUUCAAAACACAGACAGGAAAUGCUAUUAGGAAUUUAUUAAGACUUCAUGGACUAUAAAUUAAUCCAGGAUUGUUUUACAAUUUACAAACCCUUAUAUACGAAUAUUUUAAAGUCAUUGUAUUUAUAUUUAUUUUCUGGAAAUGUUUAUAAUUUUAGCAUGUUGUUAAAACUUAAAGUAUAGUCUUUUAUAGUGAACAGAUGUAAUCUUUUCUGUACUUUGGCAAUAAAAAAUUAAGACUCA